GUUUGGGGCGCUUUUCCCUUGUGGAAGGCUGAGAAGAGACCCAUUGAACCUGAUCUGGAUAAUGCCAGCGCAGGGAAACU
rnacentral:ncRNA from 1 species